rnacentral:rRNA from 1 species
CGGGGUGCAGCAGGCGCGAAAACUUUACAAUGCGGGAAACCGUGAUAAGGGGACACCGAGUGUCAGCAUCAUAUGCUGGCUGUCCAGGUGUGUAAAAUACACCUGUUAGCAAGGGCCGGGCAAGACCGGUGCCAGCCGCCGCGGUAACACCGGCGGCCCGAGUGGUGAUCGUGAUUAUUGGGUCUAAAGGGUCCGUAGCCGGUUUGGUCAGUCCUCCGGGAAAUCUGAUAGCUCAACUAUUAGGCUAUCGGGGGAUACUACCAGACUUGGAACCGGGAGAGGUAAGAGGUACUACAGGGGUAGGAGUGAAAUCUUGUAAUCCCUGUGGGACCACCUGUGGCGAAGGCGUCUUACCAGAACGGGUUCGACGGUGAGGGACGAAAGCUGGGGGCACGAACCGGAUUAGAUACCCGGGUAGUCCCAGCCGUAAACGAUGCUCGCUAGGUGUCAGGCAUGGCGCGACCGCGUCUGGUGCCGCAGGGAAGCCGUGAAGCGAGCCACCUGGGAAGUACGGCCGCAAGGCUGAAACUUAAAGGAAUGGCGGGGGAGCAC